AUUGAACGCUGGCGGCAUGCCUAACACAUGCAAGUCGAACGAGUGGCGGACGGGUGAGUAAUGUCUGGGAAACUGCCUGCUGGAGGGGGAUAACUACUGGAAACGGUAGCUAAUACCGCAUACCAUCGGAUGUGCCCAGAUGGGAUUAGCUAGUAGGUGGGGUAAUGGCUCACCUAGGCGACGAUCCCUAGCUGGUCUGAGAGGAUGACCAGGCACACGGGAACUGAGAAACGGUGCAGACUCCUACGGGCGGAAGCAGUGGGGAAUAUUGCAAAAUGGGCGCAAGCCUGAUGCAGCCAUGCCGCGUGUAUGAAGAAGGCCUUCGGGUUGUAAAGGACUUUCAGCGGGGAGGCGUUACCCGCAGAAGAAGCACCGGCUAACUCCGUGCCAGCAGCCGCGGUAAUGC
rnacentral:rRNA from 1 species